rnacentral:ncRNA from 1 species
UUGUGGUGAAGUCGUGAUUUAUACGAAUUGCAGCGACUUAAAAUAAAUAGCUAAAUAGUAGGAAAAGUUUUCUU